AUUGAACGCUGGCGGUAUGCUUAACACAUGCAAGUCGAACGGUAGCAGGCCUUCGGGCGCUGACGAGUGGCGGACGGGUGAGUAACGCGUAGGAAUCUGCCUCAUAGUGGGGGACAACGUGGGGAAACUCACGCUAAUACCGCAUACGCCCUACGGGGGAAAGCGGGGGCUCUUCGGACCUCGCGCUAUGAGAUGAGCCUGCGUUAGAUUAGCUAGUUGGUAGGGUAAAAGCCUACCAAGGCGACGAUCUAUAGCUGGUCUGAGAGGACGAUCAGCCGCACUGGGACUGAGACACGGCCCAGACUCCUACGGGAGGCAGCAGUGGGGGAUAGUGGACAAUGGGCGCAAGCCUGAUCCAGCAAUACCGCGUGUGUGAAGAAGGCCCUAGGGUUGUAAAGCACUUUCAAUUGGGAGGAAAACCUGCCGGUCAAUACCCGGCAGCUUGACAUUACCUUUAGAAGAAGCACCGGCUAACUCCGUGCCAGCAGCCGCAGUAACAC
rnacentral:rRNA from 1 species